CUGCUUCCCCACACUUCCCUUCUUUGGGUCCACCGCCGUUGCAUACACUGUGUACACCAGCCCAAAGGUCAUCACUAUCUCGAAAACGAACGCGUUCCACACCCCAACCCCUGACGACAAUGAAAACGCCGAUGUCGUCUGCAGUCAUAAACACAAACACAAAAUCUCCUCUUUAUCUUCCGUUCAAUUAUAA